UGGAGAAAAAAAAGCAAGUACGAGUUUGAUAAAAAAUGUUAGUCAGAAUCGCAUAUUACAAUGGUGAAAAUAUGCGAUUCUGACUAGCAUUUUUUAUCAGACUCGUACUUGCUUAUUUUUAUCCAUU
rnacentral:miRNA from 1 species